UACAGAGACCUCAAGCGUUAUCCGGAAUCAUUGGGCGUAAAGCGUACCGAUAGGUUGUUUACUAAGUCAAAGUGAAAUCUCUGAGCUCAACUCGGAAUCUGUCUUUUGAAACUAGUAAACUAGAGGGGCGAAGAGGAAGCUGGAACGAACGGUGUAGUAGUGAAAUGCGUUGAUAUCGUUCGGAACACCAAUAGCGUAGGCAGGCUUCUGGGUGCCACCUGACACUGCUAGGACGAAAGCGUGGGGAGCGAAUGGG
rnacentral:rRNA from 1 species